GCAGCUCGACACGCCGCGUGAGUGAUGAGGCUUUCGGGUCGUAAAACUCUGUUGUUAGGGAAAACAGUGCUAGUUGAAUAAGCUGGCACCUUGACGGUACCUAACAGAAAGCCACGGCUAACUACGUGCCAGCAGCCGCGGUAAUACGUAGGUGGCAAGCGUUAUCCGGAAUUAUUGGGCGUAAAGCGCGCGCAGGUGGUUUCUUAAGUCUGAUGUGAAAGCCCACGGCUCAACCGUGGAGGGUCAUUGGAAACUGGGAGACUUGAUGCAGAAGAGGAAAGUGGAAUUCCAUGUGUAGCGGUGAAAUGCGUAGAGAUAUGGAGGAA
rnacentral:rRNA from 1 species